GGUCAAUCAGUGAACAUCCUAGAGUGUACUUACACAAACCUAGAUGGUAUUGCUUACUACCCACUUAGGCUAUAUGGUAUACCCUGUUGCUCCUAUAGCUCCUACAGACCUAUACAACAUGAUACUGUACUGAAUACUGUAGGCAAUUGUGAUACAAUGCUACGACGAAAGGAAAAGGAAAAUGGAAAAAGACUAUCCAAAGAAUACUGAAGAAGAAUUUUCAGGAGUAAAUGGCCAAAUCGAUGCUGCUGUAGAAUUAAAUGCCGCUGCCUUGUUUUGAGCUGCCCUAUGGAGAGUCUCAGUGGCGAGGAAUUGAGGACAGACUUCUGUACGGACCUGAGGUCAUCAUUCCAACAACACAUGAAGAGCUGAAUCCUGACAACAACUUCAUUGGUAAGCUUGGAAGUGGAUUUUCCCCCAAACAGGCCUUGAGGUGACCACAGCCCUGGCUGACUGCAGCCUUGUGAAAUACCCUGAGACAGAAGACCCAGCUCAGCCACACCUGAACUCCUGACCCACAGAACCUGCUAUAAUAAAUGUUGUUUUGGC
rnacentral:lncRNA from 10 species